rnacentral:tRNA from 1 species
GUCCCCUUCGUCUAGUGGCCUAGGACACCGCCCUUUCACGGCGGUAACAGGGGGUCGAGUCCCCUAGGGGGCGCCC